rnacentral:lncRNA from 1 species
CACCUCCUUUCAUGCAUUACACAUGUAAAUUUUGUACUCUUUUUUUGCCUUGUAGGUACUGUUAAAUGUUCCUCUUGUGAGUCAGGAGCAGUGAAAUCUAGCCACCAAAGGGAAAUCUCUAUCUCCUGAGCAGAGCAGUAGCUUACCUGGAGGGCACUAUGGCAGGAAGAUGAGGACAAGGGUGCACUCCUUCAUGUGGGUCUCUGAACAUCUCUGCCCUUUUUCCUCCAGAGAGCAGAAAAUGCUGGGAGAGCCUGGAUGUUAUUUGUGCUGGAUGCACUUGGCUCCAGAUGAACAACAUGACCACUUCAUCUUCCUCCAGUUUACCCUGUCAAGGAACGGAGAAGUAUGGGCACAUAACUAGUAGGACAUUUAUUUUUGAAGACGUCUUCUUGGGCAGAAGAGGAAUGGUUCAGAAGUGCAAGGGAAUACAGUCUCAGAUUUCUGAAAAAAACUGUGGAAGAAAAGAUUAUCUCAUGCUUGAGUAUCUCCCAAAUUAUGCAAAGACCAAAGCUGCACUGAUUUAAGUGUUUGGGGCAUUAUGAGUAGCAGCUCUGAGUCCGUUCAGAGUCAGAAGAACACCAGAGGCCGUCUUGAUCCUGUGCAGGGUUCACUCUGAAACUCACUGCAAUUACUGGAAAGACUGUGACAUCCUGGAAACUGCUGUGAGCGGGGCUGGGCAGCUGGCUGGUGAGCUGGGACCUGUGCAGUCUGGAGGAGCUGAUGCUCUGCUGGUGGGUCAGCUGCUCUCUGGAGAGAAAAUCAUCCAGCUGUGGGCACAACAAUGUGUUGGAUGAGGUGCCUGAAGUGUCCUGCUUGUCUGACUGGGGUGCAGCUGUGCCAGUGGUGUCACUCAGAUCAGAGAGCGGGCUCUGGUCCCAGAGAGAGGGAGAUGUGUGAAAAGCAAAGAAUGCUCCAGCCCUUUGCUUUGGCACACAAGCCUCUCCCUAUGGCAGUUUCACUUGAAAGAAGAAAUGCAGCACCUCCAUUCUAAAGAGUAAUUCAUCUAAGCUAAUCUACAAGCAAGGUCACAAAGAAAAGCUGGGACAGUGUAAGGUAAUGUCAUGAAACCUAGAUAGAGCAGUGACACCGAGGAGGUUGCUUUCUCAACAAAUAAACAACUGGGCCCCUGAUCA